rnacentral:rRNA from 1 species
AUCGAACGCUGGCGGCAGGCCUAACACAUGCAAGUCGAGCGGAUGAAGGGAGCUUGCUCCUGGAUUCAGCGGCGGACGGGUGAGUAAUGCCUAGGAAUCUGCCUGGUAGUGGGGGAUAACGUCCGGAAACGGGCGCUAAUACCGCAUACGUCCUGAGGGAGAAAGUGGGGGAUCUUCGGACCUCACGCUAUCAGAUGAGCCUAGGUCGGAUUAGCUAGUUGGUGGGGUAAAGGCCUACCAAGGCGACGAUCCGUAACUGGUCUGAGAGGAUGAUCAGUCACACUGGAACUGAGACACGGUCCAGACUCCUACGGGAGGCAGCAGUGGGGAAUAUUGGACAAUGGGCGGAAGCCUGAUCCAGCCAUGCCGCGUGUGUGAAGAAGGUCUUCGGAUUGUAAAGCACUUUAAGUUGGGAGGAAGGGCAGUAAGUUAAUACCUUGCUGUUUUGACGUUACCAACAGAAUAAGCACCGGCUAACUUCGUG